rnacentral:rRNA from 1 species
UACGUAGGGUGCGAGCGUUAAUCGGAAUUACUGGGCGUAAAGCGUGCGUAGGUGGUUCGUUGUGUCUGUGGUGAAAGCCCCGGGCUUAACCUGGGAAUGGCCAUGGAAACUGGCGAGCUGGAGUCUGGCAGAGGGGGUGGAAUUCCGCGUGUAGCAGUGAAAUGCGUAGAGAUGCGGAGGAACACCGAUGGCGAAGGCAGCCCCCUGGGCUAAGACUGACGCUGAGGCACGAAAGCGUGGGGAGCCAAACAGG